rnacentral:piRNA from 1 species
UCCUACGCCAAUGAUACCCAUGGAAGC